rnacentral:rRNA from 1 species
UACGUGUGGGGCAAGCGUUGUUCGGAAUUACUGGGCUUAAAGGGUUCGUAGGCGGCCUAUUAAGUCAGGGGUGAAAUCCCACGGCCCAACCGUGGAAUUGCCUUUGAUACUGAUGGGCUUGAGUGUGUUAGGGGUAAGCGGAACGUGUGGUGUAGCGGUGAAAUGCGUAGAUAUCACACGGAAGGCCGGAGCCGAAGGGGGCUUACUGGGACACAACUGACGCUGAGGAACGAAAGCGUGGGGAGCAAACAGG